rnacentral:tRNA from 1 species
GCCGAAGUGGUGAAAUUGGUAGACACGCCGUCUUGAGGGGGCGGUGGCGCAAGCAGUGCCGGUUCGAGUCCGGCCUUCGGCACCA